rnacentral:rRNA from 1 species
GUGAUAGCGGCGCGCUACACAUGCAAGUCGAGCGAGAAAGGGCUUCGGCCCCGGUACAGCGGCGCACGGGUGAGUAACGCGUAGGUAAUCUGCCCCUCGGCGGGGGAUAACCUUCCGAAAGGAGGGCUAAUACCGCAUGAGACCACGGCCUGAAAUGGCUGCGGUUAAAGCUGGCCUCUUCAUGAAAGCUGGCACCGGAGGAUGAGCCUGCGUCCCAUCAGCUAGUUGGUAGGGUAACGGCCUACCAAGGCGAAGACGGGUAGCUGGUCUGAGAGGAUGAUCAGCCACACUGGAACUGAGACACGGUCCAGACUCCUACGGGAGGCAGCAGUGGGGAAUCUUGCGCAAUGGGCGAAAUGCCUGACGCAGCGACGCCGCGUGAGCGAUGAAGGCCUUAGGGUUGUAAAGCUCUGUGGAGAGGGACGAAUAAGCACGAGCGAAUACCUCGUGUGAUGACGGUACCUUUUUAGCAAGCACCGGCUAACUCUGUGCCAGCAGCCGCGGUAAGACAGAGGGUGCAAACGUUGUUCGGAAUUACUGGGCGUAAAGCGCGUGUAGGCUGUUGCGAAAGUCGGGUGUGAAAUCCCUGGGCUCAACCCAGGAAGUGCACUCGAAACUACGCGACUUGAGUCUCGGAGAGGGAAGCGGAAUUCUGGGUGUAGAGGUGAAAUUCGUAGAUAUCCAGAGGAACACCAGUGGCGAAGGCGGCUUCCUGGACGAUCACUGACGCUGAUGCACGAAAGCGUGGGGAUCAAACAGGAUUAGAUACCCUGGUAGUCCACGCCGUAAACGAUGAUAACUCGCUGUUGGCGAUACACAGUCAGCGGCUUAGCGAAAGCGUUAAGUUAUCCACCUGGGGAGUACGCUCGCAAGAGUGAAACUCAAAGGAAUUGACGGGGGCCCGCACAAGCGGAGGAACAUGUGGUUUAAUUCGAUGAUACGCGAGGAACCUUACCUGGGCUUAAAUGUGCUAUGACCGCCGGAGAAAUCUGGCUUUUCGCAAGAACAGAGUACAAGGUGCUGCAUGGUUGUCGUCAGCUCGUGCCGUGAGGUGUCGGGUUAAGUCCCAUAACGAGCGCAACCCUUAUGAUUAGUUGCUAACAGGUCAAGCUGAGGACUCUAGUCAGACUGCCACCGUAAGGUGUGAGGAAGGUGGGGAUGACGUCAAAUCAGCACGGCCCUUAUGUCCAGGGCUACACACGUGUAACAAUGGCCGAUACAGAGGGCAGCCACCCCGCGAGGGGUAGCUAAUCCGGAAAAGUCGGUCUCAGUUCGGAUCGGAGUCUGCAACCCGACUCCGUGAAGCUGGAUUCGCUAGUAAUCGCGCAUCAGCCAUGGCGCGGUGAAUACGUUCCCGGGCCUUGUACACACCGCCCGUCAAACCAUGGGAGCCGAGGGUACCUGAAGUCUGUGACCGCAAGGAGCGGCCUAGGGUAAAAAAGAACA